UACGUAGGCAGCGAGCGUUGUUCGGAAUUACUGGGCGUAAAGAGUGUGUAGGCGGUGCUCUAAGUUCGGUGUGAAAUCUCCUGGCUCAACUGGGAGGGUGCGCCGGAAACUGGAGUGCUUGAGCGUGGGAGAGGAAAGCGGAAUUCCUGGUGUAGCGGUGAAAUGCGUAGAUAUCAGGAGGAACACCUGUGGUGUAGACGGCUCUCUAGUACGGUACUGACGCUGAGACGCGAAAGCGUGGGGAGCGAACAGG
rnacentral:rRNA from 1 species